UUGACGGGGGCCCGCACCAAGCGGAGGAACAUGUGGUUUAAUUCGAUGAUACGCGAGGAACCUUACCUGGGCUUAAAUGGGAGUGACAGCUGUCGAAAGAUGGUUUUCUUCGGACACUCUUCAAGGUGCUGCAUGGCUGUCGUCAGCUCGUGCCGUGAGGUGUCGGGUUAAGUCCCAUAACGAGCGCAACCCUUACCGUUAGUUACCAUCAGGUUAAGCUGGGGACUCUAGCGGGACUGCCACCGUAAGGUGAGAGGAAGGUGGGGAUGACGUCAAAUCAGCACGGCCCUUAUGUCCAGGGCUACACACGUGUUACAAUGGCCAGUACAAAGGGCAGCUACCGGGUGACCGGAUGCUAAUCUCUAAAGCUGGUCUCAGUUCGGAUCGAAGUCUGCAACCCGACUUCGUGAAGCUGGAUUCGCUAGUAAUCGCGCAUCAGCCAUGGCGCGGUGAAUACGUUCCCGGGCCUU
rnacentral:rRNA from 1 species